rnacentral:rRNA from 1 species
GCAUGAAUGCGCGGAUCUUCAGAGAUUAGAGUUUGAUCAUGGCUCAGGAUGAACGCUAGCGGCAGGCUUAACACAUGCAAGUCGAGGGGCAGCGAGGGUAGCAAUACCUGUCGGCGACCGGCGCAAGGGUGCGUAACGCGUGAGCAACAUGCCCGUAUCAGGGGGAUAAUCCAGGGAAACUUGGUCUAAUACCCCAUAGUAAAUAUUGGAGGCAUCCUCGAUAUUUUAAAGCUUUGGUGGAUACGGAUUGGCUCGCGUGACAUUAGCUAGAUGGUGGGGUAACGGCUCACCAUGGCUACGAUGUCUAGGGGUUCUGAGAGGAAGGUCCCCCACACUGGUACUGAGACACGGACCAGACUCCUACGGGAGGCAGCAGCGAGGAAUAUUGGACAAUGGAUGGAAAUCUGAUCCAGCCAUGCCGCGUGCAGGAAGACGGCCCUAUGGGUUGUAAACUGCUUUUGUAUGGGAGCAAUAAGGACUACGUGUAGUUUGAUGAGAGUACCAUACGAAUAAGCAUCGGCUAACUCCGUGCCAGCAGCCGCGGUAAUACGGAGGAUGCGAGCGUUAUCCGGAUUUAUUGGGUUUAAAGGGUGCGUAGGCGGCGAUAUAAGUCAGUGGUGAAAUAUUUCGGCUUAACCGAGAGACUGCCAUUGAUACUGUGUUGCUAGAAUAUGGUUGCUGUGAGUGGAAUGUGUGGUGUAGCGGUGAAAUGCUUAGAUAUCACACAGAAUAUCGAUUGCGAAGGCAGCUCACAAAGCCAUUAUUGACGCUGAGGCACGAAAGUGUGGGGAUCAAACAGGAUUAGAUACCCUGGUAGUCCACACUGUAAACGAUGAUAACUCGCUGUCGGCGAUAGACAGUCGGUGGCCAAGCGAAAGCGAUAAGUUAUCCACCUGGGGAGUACGACCGCAAGGUUGAAACUCAAAGGAAUUGACGGGGGCCCGCACAAGCGGAGGAACAUGUGGUUUAAUUCGAUGAUACGCGAGGAACCUUACCCGGGCUCGAACGGUGCAUGAAUAUACAAGAGAUUGUAUAGCCAGCAAUGGCAUGUAUCGAGGUGCUGCAUGGUUGUCGUCAGCUCGUGCCGUGAGGUGUCGGCUUAAGUGCCAUAACGAGCGCAACCCUUGUCGUUAGUUACCAUCAGGGG